rnacentral:rRNA from 1 species
AUUGAACGCUGGCGGCAUGCUUUACACAUGCAAGUCGAACGGUAACAGGCCGCAAGGUGCUGACGAGUGGCGAACGGGUGAGUAAUGCAUCGGAACGUGCCCAGUCGUGGGGGAUAACGCAGCGAAAGCUGUGCUAAUACCGCAUACGAUCUGUGGAUGAAAGCGGGGGACCUUCGGGCCUCGCGCGAUUGGAGCGGCCGAUGUCAGAGUAGGUAGUUGGUGGGGUAAAGGCUCACCAAGCCGACGAUCUGUAGCUGGUCUGAGAGGACGACCAGCCACACUGGGACUGAGACACGGCCCAGACUCCUACGGGAGGCAGCAGUGGGGAAUUUUGGACAAUGGGCGCAAGCCUGAUCCAGCAAUGCCGCGUGCAGGAAGAAGGCCUUCGGGUUGUAAACUGCUUUUGUACGGAGCGAAAAGGCUCCCUCUAAUACAGGGGGCUCAUGACGGUACCGUAAGAAUAAGCACCGGCUAACUACGUGCCAGCCGCCGCAGUAAGAC